GGGUGGUAAUACCGGAUGCUCCGCUCCAUCGCAUGGUGGGGUGGGAAAUGCUUUUGCGGCAUGGGAUGGGGUCGCGUCCUAUCAGCUUGUUGGCGGGGUGAUGGCCCACCAAGGCGUUGACGGGUAGCCGGCCUGAGAGGGUGACCGGCCACAUUGGGACUGAGAUACGGCCCAGACUCCUACGGGAGGCAGCAGUGGGGAAUAUUGCACAAUGGGCGCAAGCCUGAUGCAGCGACGCCGCGUGCGGGAUGGAGGCCUUCGGGUUGUAAACCGCUUUUGUUCAAGGGCAAGGCACGGUUUCGGCCGUGUUGAGUGGAUUGUUCGAAUAAGCACCGGCUAACUACGUGCCAGCAGCCGCGGUAAUACGUAGGGUGCGAGCGUUAUCCGGAUUUAUUGGGCGUAAAGGGCUCGUAGGCGGUUCGUCGCGUCCGGUGUGAAAGUCCAUCGCCUAACGGUGGAUCUGCGCCGGGUACGGGCGGGCUGGAGUGCGGUAGGGGAGACUGGAAUUCCCGGUGUAACGGUGGAAUGUGUAGAUAUCGGAAAAAAAACACC
rnacentral:rRNA from 1 species